AUUGGUGUGACCGAGUUUAGGUAAUAGACUGUAAAUCUAUGUACGGGUUACUAUCCCCACCAUUA
rnacentral:tRNA from 1 species